CAGUCGCCACGGUAACACGAACCGUGCGAACGUUAUUCGGAAUUACUGGGCUUAAAGCGCGUGUAGGCGGCUGGGCGCGUCGGAUGUUGAAAGCCCCCGGCUCAACCGGGGAAGUGGCACCGAUACGGCCGAGCUGGAGGAAGGUAGGGGGGUCUGGAUCUUCCGGUGGAGCGGUGAAAUUCGUAGAUAUUCGGAAGAACACCAGUGGCGAAGGCGACUCGCUGGACAAGUAUUGACGCUGAGGUGCGAAAGCGUAGGGAGCAAACAGGAUUAGAUACCCGCGUAGUCCCUGUCUCUUAUA
rnacentral:rRNA from 1 species